rnacentral:lncRNA from 1 species
AUCUCUAAACGUGUUGAACAGGUGCUCUGCGAAUGAUUCAGUGGGUAUAUGUCGUGAUUGCUUCAUCUGAACUUACAUUAUUAUUCUGUUUGCGAUUGCCCACCUUUAUGCAGUGUUUAUCCUAAGAAUGCUGACAAAUUUAUCAUUUCUUGCUUGUGCAGUUUGUGGCCGAGCUUAUGUUGUAAACUUGUAAUGCAUGUUGUUAUGGACCAAGAAAAACAGACCUGGGGUUCAUUGGAUUUUACAUUACUUCAUUCAAUUGACGGCAUCUUAUGGAAGUUUUCAUAAUGGUAACCUGGCAUCUGUAUGCAGAGAAUUGGUAUUAUCUUCCAGAGUUAGAAAUCAGAUUUGGGGCUUGGAAAAAGGAUUUCACUGACGCAUUCUGUAUGCAGCUCCACUGAAUCAAAUAAGAAGCAAGGCUUGUUGCUGGCUUGUCUAUUUUCGCUCUCCUAUCAUUUUCAAUGAGCUCUCAGCUUUUGCUCUUAGUUUUCAUCCUUUUUUCCUUUGAGGAAAAUUUUGCCCUUCCUUAUUGUACUUGCCUCGAAAUUUGA